rnacentral:rRNA from 1 species
GUGGGGAAUAUUGGGCAAUGGGCGAAAGCCUGACCCAGCAACGCCGCGUGAGGGAAGAAGGUUUUCGGAUUGUAAACCUCUGUCCUUGGUGACGAAGGAAGUGACGGUAGCCAAGGAGGAAGCCCCGGCUAACUACGUGCCAGCAGCCGCGGUAAUACGUAGGGGGCGAGCGUUGUCCGGAAUGACUGGGCGUAAAGGGCGUGUAGGCGGCCGAUUAAGUCUGGAGUGAAAGUCCUGCUUUCAAGGUGGGAAUUGCUUUGGAGACUGGUUGGCUUGAGUGCGGAAGAGGUAAGUGGAAUUCCCAGUGUAGCGGUGAAAUGCGUAGAGAUUGGGAGGAACACCAGUGGCGAAGGCGACUUACUGGGCCGUAACUGACGCUGAGGCGCGAAAGCGUGGGGAGCGAACAGGAUUAGAAACCCGUGUAGUCC